rnacentral:lncRNA from 1 species
AUAACCUGUUAAUUUUGUGUUGUGUUGGGUUAACGGGUCGUGUCAGAAAUUUUCAUACCUAGUCCCUAGCUGUUCGAACUAGGAAAGUCGGAGUUUCCGAUAGUAAUCGCAUCUAAACAUAAUAUUGGGACCGGUAGUAAAACUCAACUAAAAUGAUUAAAUUUGGAAAAACGGAUCGCAAAUUUGGAAUUAGGGCGUCGAAAUAUCCUAAGAAGGGUCACGGGUAAAUUUCGUAAAAAGUCAACCGAGUCGCCGGGACAGUCAACUACGUUAAAAUUUUGAAAUUUUACUAAAUGGAUGACAAAAAUAGACUCAAGGCAUCAGAAUUAGCCUAAGAGAGGUCCCGACAAAAACCUGAAAUCAACGCAGGGAAUAUUCCAAGAAUAUUCGAGGAAUAUUUCAUAUCCGGUUUCAUAAACAAGUUGGGUCGGUUCUGGGUCAGGGUUAUAGGAUCGGUUCGUGGAUUUUGGUCGAAUUCGGUUCAUCAGAUCUGAUUCUGAUAUUCAGGUCGGGUUAACCCAAUCUAGGCUGCGGGUAGGUUGGUUUAUGGGGAUUUUGGCCGAAAAACUUCCACAGCUCCGAUUAGCUUUAAAACUAAACCAAAACUAGCAACCUACUAUACCAAUUUGAACCUUAAAGAACAAGUAAUCGAAAUAUACCAUUGGAUUUUUUGGGCGUGGCUGGAUUUGGCCGAAAAAGGGCUUGAAAGCUGUUAGAUUCCUUUUCGGAAAACAGAGAAAGAGUCCCCAAGGUAUCUCCGGCACCAAAUCAUCACCAACUCUUACAAAUAACCGACAAAACAACUCAAAAUGACUAUAAUGACAUGAUUUGAGAAUGUUUGAUCCUUACCUAGUCGGAAAUGGCAAUGGUUCGUCGAAUAAGACAAUGAAUAAUAUGAGUGGUGGCAGUUUGAUCACAGAGGAGAGAUGAAAGGGCGUUUAAGAGAUUGUAGGUAUUUUGUGGGGUCAAGUUCUCCAAGGAGGCCAAUGGUGGUGCCUUGGUGGUUGGCAAAUAACAGACGGAGUUUGAGUAAGUUUGAGGGAGGAAAGAGUUAGAACGAGAGAGAAACGGGGAGAGUUCGAGAAAGUCCCCAAGAGCAUGGUGAACAGAGAGACGCAUGGAAGAGAGGGAGAGGGUGAGUAAGCUAUGGGUCCUACGAGCCAUAAAAAUCCUGCCGAAAAUAAUAAAAUAAUGGGAGAGAAAUUUUGAUAUACCAAUUUACUAAAAUACCCUCAAGUUUCGUAAUUCUGUAAAAUCUUCAUUGGAACUCCAAUUUUAAUUCCACUUGUGCCCGCACGUUCGUAACGUCGAGAACUACAAGGAUAUGCUAAAAGAAUGUUUCGUACGUCUCGUUAUACGAUGGUCAACGAAAGCCAAUAUUCUUGCCUCUAGGGGCGUUUUGGUCAAUUCACACCUUUAAAAUUAUAAAAACCAUAAAAUUAGGGACGAGUUAUUACAACAUACCUAUAAACAUCUAUCCACAAUCUUUCAACCAUAUUUUAUACAAAAAUAGGACAAUUUAGUAAUCUUUUGUAUGUAAGUAUUAUGUUUUGUAUAUAAAUAGGACUAUCCACCAUAAUUCGAGCCUAAUCAUAGUAUAGCCCAGAAUAUGGCUUGCGAGUUCCUCAAUGACUGGCCUACUAAGUCCUUCAGGAUUGCAUUCAUUCAUUUCUCACUUGGUGCUUUGUGGUAGGGCUGAACUUGUUGUACAAACCAAGCAACCAUGGCAACAUUUUACAAAAAUUCUACAAUACGCUGAUGUAUGUGAUGCAUUUGUGUACUAAGCAUUUGCAUACUAGAUUUUGACAACCUUAGCUGAAAAAAUUAAAAUUGAUGUUCCCCAUAAAACUAAUUAGCAAUAUGUAGUCCACCUAUUUAUGAUGCAAGGUCAAUUUUUUUUUUUUUUUUUAGAUAGGGGAUUAACCUUCUCAACACGCUCUCACACAUGUAACGAAUUUUCAAGCCUAGCACAUGGACAACACACAUCGAGUGACAUGGAACAUGUGUGUGGCCGUUAUGUUUCACACAGGAUAACUUGCUCUAGUACUACGAAGAAAGUUGAGAUUUCACCAUAAAACCAAUUGGCAAUAUAAAAAAUAGUCCAUCUACUUAUAUGCACACAAGGUUCUAAAUGGCGUUAGGUGCUAGUCGAGCAGUAGGUUGGGGUCUAGCUGCCAGGCGAACUAGGUGGAUUUAAGCAAAUUUAUUAUAUAUUGUAUAAACAAGUGCCUAUUUAUUAGACUUGGUAAUUUCUUACACGACUCGUUAACAUGACACGUAAACAACACGAAAAUAAUACGUUUCGGGUCAACACAAUAACUAAUUGGGUCGUUAUCAGGUCACAUGAUAAGAACCUGUUUGUUGAUGCACAAAAUCAGUGAGGACUUUGGUACAACAGAAAGUGUUAAGUUUGUGACCUUCGCC